rnacentral:rRNA from 1 species
GGUUAAGCGACUAAGCGUACACGGUGGAUGCCCUGGCAGUCAGAGGCGAUGAAGGACGUGCUAAUCUGCGAAAAGCGUCGGUAAGGUGAUAUGAACCGUUAUAACCGGCGAUGUCCGAAUGGGGAAACCCAGUGCAAUUCGUUGCACUAUCGUUAACUGAAUACAUAGGUUAACGAGGCGAACCGGGGGAACUGAAACAUCUAAGUACCCCGAGGAAAAGAAAUCAACCGAGAUUCCCCCAGUAGCGGCGAGCGAACGGGGAGCAGCCCAGAGUCUGAAUCAGCUUGUGUGUUAGUGGAACGGUCUGGAAAGUCCGACGGUACAGGGUGAUAGUCCCGUACACCAAAAUGCACAGGUUGUGAACUCGAAGAGUAGGGCGGGACACGUGGUAUCCUGUCUGAAUAUGGGGGGACCAUCCUCCAAGGCUAAAUACUCCUGACUGACCGAUAGUGAACCAGUACCGUGAGGGAAAGGCGAAAAGAACCCCGGCGAGGGGAGUGAAAAAGAACCUGAAACCGUGUACGUACAAGCAGUGGGAGCACCUUCGGGUGUGACUGCGUACCUUUUGUAUAAUGGGUCAGCGACUUAUAUUCUGUAGCAAGGUUAACCGUAUAGGGGAGCCGCAGGGAAACCGAGUCUUAACUGGGCGUUAAGUUGCAGGGUAUAGACCCGAAACCCGGUGAUCUAGCCAUGGGCAGGUUGAAGGUUGGGUAACACUAACUGGAGGACCGAACCGACUAAUGUUGAAAAAUUAGCGGAUGACUUGUGGCUGGGGGUGAAAGGCCAAUCAAACCGGGAGAUAGCUGGUUCUCCCCGAAAGCUAUUUAGGUAGCGCCUCGUGAAUUCAUCUUCGGGGGUAGAGCACUGUUUCGGCUAGGGGGUCAUCCCGACUUACCAACCCGAUGCAAACUACGAAUACCGAAGAAUGUUAUCACGGGAGACACACGGCGGGUGCUAACGUCCGUCGUGAAGAGGGAAACAACCCAGACCGCCAGCUAAGGUCCCAAAGUCAUGGUUAAGUGGGAAACGAUGUGGGAAGGCACAGACAGCCAGGAUGUUGGCUUAGAAGCAGCCAUCAUUUAAAGAAAGCGUAAUAGCUCACUGGUCGAGUCGGCCUGCGCGGAAGAUGUAACGGGGCUAAACCAUGCACCGAAGCUGCGGCAGCGACACUAUGUGUUGUUGGGUAGGGGAGCGUUCUGUAAGCCUGCGAAGGUGACCUGUGAGGGUUGCUGGAGGUAUCAGAAGUGCGAAUGCUGACAUAAGUAACGAUAAAGCGGGUGAAAAGCCCGCUCGCCGGAAGACCAAGGGUUCCUGUCCAACGUUAAUCGGGGCAGGGUGAGUCGACCCCUAAGGCGAGGCCGAAAGGCGUAGUCGAUGGGAAACAGGUUAAUAUUCCUGUACUUGGUGUUACUGCGAAGGGGGGACGGAGAAGGCUAUGUUAGCCGGGCGACGGUUGUCCCGGUUUAAGCAUGUAGGCUGGUUAUCCAGGCAAAUCCGGAUAAUCAAGGCUGAGGUGUGAUGACGAGGCACUACGGUGCUGAAGUAACAAAUGCCCUGCUUCCAGGAAAAGCCUCUAAGCAUCAGGUAACAUUAAAUCGUACCCCAAACCGACACAGGUGGUCAGGUAGAGAAUACCAAGGCGCUUGAGAGAACUCGGGUGAAGGAACUAGGCAAAAUGGUGCCGUAACUUCGGGAGAAGGCACGCUGGUGUGUAGGUGAAGCCCCUGCGGGUGGAGCUGAGACCAGUCGAAGAUACCAGCUGGCUGCAACUGUUUAUUAAAAACACAGCACUGUGCAAACACGAAAGUGGACGUAUACGGUGUGACGCCUGCCCGGUGCCGGAAGGUUAAUUGAUGGGGUUAUCCGUAAGGAGAAGCUCUUGAUCGAAGCCCCGGUAAACGGCGGCCGUAACUAUAACGGUCCUAAGGUAGCGAAAUUCCUUGUCGGGUAAGUUCCGACCUGCACGAAUGGCGUAAUGAUGGCCAGGCUGUCUCCACCCGAGACUCAGUGAAAUUGAACUCGCUGUGAAGAUGCAGUGUACCCGCGGCAAGACGGAAAGACCCCGUGAACCUUUACUAUAGCUUGACACUGAACAUUGAGCCUUGAUGUGUAGGAUAGGUGGGAGGCUUUGAAGCGUGGACGCCAGUCUGCGUGGAGCCAACCUUGAAAUACCACCCUUUAAUGUUUGAUGUUCUAACGUUGGCCCCUUAUCGGGGUUGCGGACAGUGUCUGGUGGGUAGUUUGACUGGGGCGGUCUCCUCCCAAAGCGUAACGGAGGAGCACGAAGGUUAGCUAAUCCUGGUCGGACAUCAGGAGGUUAGUGCAAUGGCAUAAGCUAGCUUGACUGCGAGCGUGACGGCGCGAGCAGGUGCGAAAGCAGGUCAUAGUGAUCCGGUGGUUCUGAAUGGAAGGGCCAUCGCUCAACGGAUAAAAGGUACUCCGGGGAUAACAGGCUGAUACCGCCCAAGAGUUCAUAUCGACGGCGGUGUUUGGCACCUCGAUGUCGGCUCAUCACAUCCUGGGGCUGAAGUAGGUCCCAAGGGUAUGGCUGUUCGCCAUUUAAAGUGGUACGCGAGCUGGGUUUAGAACGUCGUGAGACAGUUCGGUCCCUAUCUGCCGUGGGCGCUGGAGAAUUGAGGGGGGCUGCUCCUAGUACGAGAGGACCGGAGUGGACGCAUCACUGGUGUUCGGGUUGUCAUGCCAAUGGCACUGCCCGGUAGCUAAAUGCGGAAGAGAUAAGUGCUGAAAGCAUCUAAGCACGAAACUUGCCCCGAGAUGAGUUCUCCCUGAGACUUUAAGUCUCCUGAAGGAACGUUAAAGACGAUGACGUUGAUAGGCCGGGUGUGUAAGCGCAGCGAUGCGUUGAGCUAACCGGUACUAAUGAACCGUGAGGCUUAACCUU